GGACGGUAGCACAGGGGAGCUUGCUCCUUGGGUGACGAGUGGCGGACGGGUGAGUAAUGUCUGGGGAUCUGCCCGAUAGAGGGGGAUAACCACUGGAAACGGUGGCUAAUACCGCAUAACGUCGCAAGACCAAAGAGGGGGACCUUCGGGCCUCUCACUAUCGGAUGAACCCAGAUGGGAUUAGCUAGUAGGCGGGGUAAUGGCCCACCUAGGCGACGAUCCCUAGCUGGUCUGAGAGGAUGACCAGCCACACUGGAACUGAGACACGGUCCAGACUCCUACGGGAGGCAGCAGUGGGGAAUAUUGCACAAUGGGCGCAAGCCUGAUGCAGCCAUGCCGCGUGUAUGAAGAAGGCCUUCGGGUUGUAAAGUACUUUCAGUGGGGAGGAAGGCGAUGGAGUUAAUAGCUUCGUCGAUUGACGUUACUCGCAGAAGAAGCACCGGCUAACUCCGUGCCAGCAGCCGCGGUAAUACGGAGGGUGCAAGCGUUAAUCGGAAUUACUGGGCGUAAAGCGCACGCAGGCGGUUUGUUAAGUCGGAUGUGAAAUCCCCGCGCUUAACGUGGGAACUGCAUUUGAAACUGGCAAGCUAGAGUCUUGUAGAGGGGGGUAGAAUUCCAGGUGUAGCGGUGAAAUGCGUAGAGAUCUGGAGGAAUACCGGUGGCGAAGGCGGCCCCCUGGACAAAGACUGACGCUCAGGUGCGAAAGCGUGGGGAGCAAACAGGAUUAGAUACCCUGGUAGUCCACGCUGUAAACGAUGUCGACUUGGAGGUUGUGCCCUUGAGGCGUGGCUUCCGGAGCUAACGCGUUAAGUCGACCGCCUGGGGAGUACGGCCGCAAGGUUAAAACUCAAAUGAAUUGACGGGGGCCCGCACAAGCGGUGGAGCAUGUGGUUUAAUUCGAUGCAACGCGAAGAACCUUACCUACUCUUGACAUCCAGAGAAUUCGCUAGAGAUAGCUUAGUGCCUUCGGGAACUCUGAGACAGGUGCUGCAUGGCUGUCGUCAGCUCGUGUUGUGAAAUGUG
rnacentral:rRNA from 1 species